GAAGUGAAUGACUACAAGUUCAACGUGUAACAUGUUACAAGCUCAGCAAACACAACUUUCAACAGUUUCAAAAGUACCAAUUUAAAAAAGAAUUUAUUAGCAUUUAUAAUAUGUUCUUUCAUGGUUAGAUUCUGCUCAAAAUUUACUAAUAUGAAACACUUAAAAAAUUAAAAAAAAUUGUGCUGUGAUGCACCAUUCUUCCUAGACUUCUGUAGGGGCUUUUCCUUCCUCUAUUCUCCUGGAAAGACAUUCAUUAUGUUAUAAAUGCCAGGACAAUUUAUUACCAAAUUCAAUAAUUUGGUUUAUUAAAAUUCAAAUCACAAAAUUUGGAAUCAAAUUACAGAAUUUUAAGUAAUAAAAAAACAAAACAAAACCCCACAAACAGCGACACUUACUUGACAGAAUUUCUCCCGGGAAAAAAUGAGUCAAGGGUGACCCAGAGACACGGACCCUGGCAGUCUGAGUCUCUAGCUGGGUUCACGCCUUGCCCACCUAGAGGCUUAACUUAAAUACCCUUAAUAUCACCCUCGGCAGCCUUUCUCCCAUUGUUUCACUAAGCACCGGCCAUUAACUUUGUUUAUACUAAAUCCCGAAAGGGUCCCCUGGCCCAUUCAAAUGCUGAUGUCCAGAGUUAGUCCUUGCUUUGAGUAAUUUAACCGUCAUAGAAGUGUGUGAUGAUUCCUCUGGCACGUAGCAUUCGACUGGUGUAAGUCCUGGUAAUUUUCGCUGCAUGUAUGCAAGGGUAGGUUGAUCGGUACUCAUUGUCUCAUCAGUGCCUCGUGUUCUCACCUUCUAUUUCUGGACCAGGGAGAUCAGGAGAGGCGCUUUACAGAAGUCCGUGAAACUUGCGGGUUGAGCAGACACACAUACCUUUAUACAAUAUAUUACAGUUUCCAGUCUAUAAUUAUUUAUAGAACAUGAAUUAAAUAACCCUAUUUUCCACAAUUAUUUUUAUCAAAUCCAUCUUUUCAUUAGGGCUCCUUCCCACAACAAAACAAAACAAAACAAAACAAACCUCCCAACUAUUAGUUUUUCUUUUAUGAAGGUAGAAUAUUCUUAAGAAAAUCAAAAUCUUUUCCCUGGGCUCUAAGUUAAAGACACUUUUUUUUUUUUUUGCCGAGGUGUGAAAUAUGUGCUUUUCAAUUAUUUCCAGUUUCAGGAGUUAUAAGAGAUAGCUGGAUACAUGCACAUAUUCAUUUACUUUACAUGCAUCAUAUGGUAAGAUAGAUUCUUGUCUAUAAAGUCCAUCAUCAACUUGAAAAUAAAAUUAUUAGUGAGGUGACACUAUCACUCUCUUACGGCACAGCCAAAAAGUUCCAGGUAAUUUUCAUCAUUUUACAAUUUUCAUUGAUGGAAAUCAAGAGUUUCUAUGGUGCAGAGAUUUUCUUGUCAAAUCAUUUGUAAGAUCUAUUUGAAAGAAGCUUUGCUACAUACUUUUCCAAGCAUUAUUUGCACUAAAGCCUGAUAGUGUAUGAAAACCAAAUAAAAUUAAACAGUUAUACUUCAGGCAUGCUGAACUUUGAGCUUUGCCUGCUUAUUAGACUGUGAGAGCUGAGUUAAAAAAAAAAAAAAAAAAAAAAAAAAAAAAAAAAAAAAAAAAAAAAAAAACA